rnacentral:rRNA from 1 species
GAGUUUGAUCCUGGCUCAGAUUGAACGCUGGCGGCAUGCCUUACACAUGCAAGUCGAACGGCAGCAUGAUCUAGCUUGCUAGAUUGAUGGCGAGUGGCGAACGGGUGAGUAAUACAUCGGAACGUGCCCUGUAGUGGGGGAUAACUAGUCGAAAGAUUAGCUAAUACCGCAUACGACCUGAGGGUGAAAGUGGGGGACCGCAAGGCCUCAUGCUAUAGGAGCGGCCGAUGUCUGAUUAGCUAGUUGGUGGGGUAAAGGCCGACCAAGGCGACGAUCAGUAGCUGGUCUGAGAGGACGAUCAGCCACACUGGGACUGAGACACGGCCCAGACUCCUACGGGAGGCAGCAGUGGGAAUUUUGGACAAUGGGCGAAAGCCUGAUCCAGCAAUGCCGCGUGUGUG